AUUGAACGCUGGCGGCAGGCCUAACACAUGCAAGUCGAACGAGUGGCGGACGGGUGAGUAAUGUCUGGGAAACUGCCCGAUGGAGGGGGAUAACUACUGGAAACGGUAGCUAAUACCGCAUACCAUCGGAUGUGCCCAGAUGGGAUUAGCUAGUAGGUGGGGUAACGGCUCACCUAGGCGACGAUCCCUAGCUGGUCUGAGAGGAUGACCAGCCACCCGGGAAGUGGGACAGGUGCCAGACUCCUACGGGAGGCGGCGUUGGGGAAUAUUGCACAAUGGGGGCAGGCCGAAGGCAGCCAUGCCGCGUGUAUGAAGAGGGCCUUCGGGUUGUAAAGUACUUUCAGCGAGGAGGCGUUACUCGCAGAAGAAGCACCGGCUAACUCCGUGCCAGCCGCCGCGGUAAUUC
rnacentral:rRNA from 1 species